rnacentral:rRNA from 1 species
AUGGACUCUACACCAACUCAUCAAGCACCAUGUGGACCUAUGACAAGAGCUCGCGCAUGUGCCAUAGAAACCGAGGUGAACUCACUCCUCUACGAGAUUGAUAGGGAUGUGGAUGGAACUUGGAUGCUACCUCACCAAAAUGUGUUAUGUGUCAUUAGGUCCGAAGACGACCUCCACCAAGUUGCUAAGGAGCAUCCCAAAGGCCUCGGAGAAGGACCCCAAGGCCACAAGGAAGAAGAAGGCAGCCACCAAGAUGAAGACUGCACCUCCCAGGCGACCCCAUGCCCGUGGGCUAUCAGACAGCUAUUGGAAGUGAAGACGCGCACCCCAUGCGCACGACCUCCAGACCCCGUGCCCACGGGCCUCGCCGCUGUAGCACCCCGUGCGCACGGGCGUGUACCGUGCCCACGGGACCCCCGUGCGCACGGGCGUGUACCGUGCCCACGGGACCCCCGUGCGCACGGGCCUCACUUACCCCGUGCGCACGGUCCUCCCAAGAUUCAGCGGUGGACUUCCUGUUUCACCCUCCAACUCGCACCCCUCCUUCCUCUAGCUAUAUAUUCCGUGCCUAGGACAUUGUUUAGGGUUAGCAAAGUAUGA